UACGUAGGGUGCGAGCGUUAAUCGGAAUUACUGGGCGUAAAGCGUGCGCAGGCGGUUUUGUAAGUCAGAUGUGAAAUCCCCGGGCUCAACCUGGGAACUGCGUUUGAAACUGCAAGGCUAGAGUAUGGGAGAGGGAGGUAGAAUUCCACGUGUAGCAGUGAAAUGCGUAGAGAUGUGGAGGAACACCGAUGGCGAAGGCAGCCCCCUGGGCUGAGAUUGACGGCUCAGGCACGAAAGCGUGGGGAGCAAACAGGG
rnacentral:rRNA from 1 species